rnacentral:rRNA from 1 species
GACGAACGCUGGCGGCAGGCUUAACACAUGCAAGUCGAACGCAUCCUUCGGGGUGAGUGGCAGACGGGUGAGUAACGCGUGGGAACGUGCCCUUCAGUUUGGAAUAACCCAGGGAAACUUGGGCUAAUACCGGAUACGCCCGUAAGGGGAAAGAUUUAUCGCUGAAGGAUCGGCCCGCGUCUGAUUAGCUAGUUGGUGAGGUAAAGGCUCACCAAGGCGACGAUCAGUAGCUGGUCUGAGAGGAUGAUCAGCCACAUUGGGACUGAGACACGGCCCAAACUCCUACGGGAGGCAGCAGUGGGGAAUAUUGGACAAUGGGCGCAAGCCUGAUCCAGCCAUGCCGCGUGAGUGAUGAAGGCCUUAGGGUUGUAAAGCUCUUUCGGCGGGGACGAUAAUGACGGUACCCGCAGAAGAAGCCCCGGCUAACUUCGUGCCAGCCGCCGCGGUAAAAC